AAUGGGAGCGGCAGACGGGUGAGUAACGCGUGGGGAUCUACCCAUUGGUACGGAAUAACCCAGGGAAACUUGGACUAAUACCGUAUGUGCCCUUCGGGGGAAAGAUUUAUCGCCAAUGGAUGAACCCGCGUCGGAUUAGCUAGUUGGUGGGGUAAAGGCUCACCAAGGCGACGAUCCGUAGCUGGUCUGAGAGGAUGAUCAGCCACACUGGGACUGAGACACGGCCCAGACUCCUACGGGAGGCAGCAGUGGGGAAUAUUGGACAAUGGGCGCAAGCCUGAUCCAGCCAUGCCGCGUGAGUGAUGAAGGCCUUAGGGUUGUAAAGCUCUUUCGCCGGUGAAGAUAAUGACGGUAACCGGAGAAGAAGCCCCGGCUAACUUCGUGCCAGCAGCCGCGGUAAUACGAAGGGGGCUAGCGUUGCUCGGAAUCACUGGGCGUAAAGCGCACGUAGGCGGAUCGUUAAGUCAGGGGUGAAAUCCUGGGGCUCAACCUCAGAACUGCCCUUGAUACUGGCGAUCUCGAGUUCGAGAGAGGUUGGUGGAACUCCGAGUGUAGAGGUGAAAUUCGUAGAUAUUCGGAAGAACACCAGUGGCGAAGGCGGC
rnacentral:rRNA from 1 species